AGGUUUCUUGUAAGAGAUUUGAAUGUUAAUGUUUUUAUCUUUCUUGGAGGUGAUUAAUGUGAAAAUAUAACUCAAAAAGAUGGUUUUAACCCUAUCUACAUUUCUCUUUGUGCAUAUGCCAGUUUUUGAUGCUCGAGUCCAGCUAGAACCUAUCCUAGAAUCCAAAAAGGAAACCUGAUGAGCGAUUCCGAGGUGGAUUCAACCCCUACUAGCCCUAAUAUGUGUUUAGUUUCCAGCGAUGACGCCGGCGGUCUACGUUGAACUUAAAGGUGACAACAAUGACAACGUUAGAUUUGAUGUCAUAUUCCCUCCUAGUAGGUAUAUUAUGUUUUCUUCAGUCACAUUCAUCGAUAACCGAGGGUGCAUGGCAACGGUGACGGCGACCCCAUGGCGGCGUGUCUUCCCGGUGCGUGACACCAUCGCGGUAACGCGUGGACAAUAGCUUCUCAAUCACGAGGUGCCCUUCGUUUGUACAAAUUUGAUGUCUAAAUAGUAGUUUUGGACGAUUUUCCAUAGAAUGUCUUUAAAGCUUAUUUUCAGCUUUAAAAUUAAUUCACAGGCUUAAUAGAGGUUAAAAAAAAUUC